CCCCAACCCAAAAGUAGCCGCUGGGGUACGUCUCAAGACUAAACUCAAAUGAAUGACGGGGCCCGCACAACCGUGGGCCUUUUGUUUAUUCGAUGCAACGCGAAGAACCUUCCUGGCCUGACAUACUAGAAACUUCCAAAGAUGGAUUGGUCCUUCGGGAAUCCAAAUACAGGUGCUGCAUGGCUGUCGCCAGCUCGUGUCGUGAGAUGUUGGGUUAAGUCCCGCAACGAGCGCACCCUUUUCCUUACUUGCCAGCAUUUCGGAUGGGAACUUUAAGGAUACUGCCAGUGACAAACUGGAGGAAGGCGGGGACGACGUCAAGUCAUCAUGGCCCUUACGGCCAGGGCUACACACGUGCUACAAUGGUCGGUACAAAGGGUUGCUACACAGCGAUGUGAUGCUAAUUCAAAAAGCCGAUCGUAGUCCGGAUUGGAGUCUGCAACUCGACUCCAUGAAGUCGGAAUCGCUAGUAAUCGCGGAUCAGAAUGCCGCGGUGAAUACGUUCCCGGGCCUUGUACACACCGCCCGUCACACCAUGGGAGUUUGUUGCACCAGAAGUAGGUAGUCUAACCGCAAGGAGGACGC
rnacentral:rRNA from 1 species